rnacentral:rRNA from 1 species
AUUGAACGCUGGCGGCAGGCCUACCACAUGCAAGUCGAACGAGUGGCGGACGGGUGAGUAAUGUCUGGGAAACUGCCUGAUGGAGGGGGAUAACUACUGGAACCGGUAGCUAAUACCGCAUACCAUCGGAUGUGCCCAGAUGGGAUUAGCUAGUAGGUGGGGUAAAGGCUCACCUAGGCGACGAUCCCUAGCUGGUCUGAGAGGAUGACCAGGCAAACGGGAACUGAGACACGGUCCAGACUACGACGGGAGGCAGCAGGGGGGAAUAGGGGACAAGGGGCGAAAGACUGAUGCAGCCAUGCCGCGUGUAUGAAGAAGGCCUUCGGGUUGUAAAGUACUGUCAGCGGGGAGGCGUUACACGCAGAAGAAGCACAGGCGAAAUCCGUGCCAGCAGCCGCGGGAAUAC